AAGCGAGAAUAAAAAUAUAAGACGAGAAGACCCCAUGGAGCUUUAAACUCAUCAUCAUUUACUUUUUAUUACAUCACCACAUACAGUAAAAUUGUUACCUGAGAGUUUUCGGCUGGGGUGACCCUGGAGCAAAAUAAAUCCUCCAGGAUGAACGGAAUAAAAUCCUAAUCAAAGAGCUACAGCUCUAAGAAUCAAAAUAUUGACAUAAUUUGAUCCAAUUGCUUGAUCAACGAACCAAGUUACCCUGGGGAUAACAGCGCAAUCCAUUUCAAGAGCCCCUAUCGACAAAUGGGUUUACGACCUCGAUGUUGGAUCGGGGUAUCCCAGUGGCGCAGCCGCUACUAAAGGUUCGUUUGUUCAACGAUUAACAACCCCACGUGAUCU
rnacentral:rRNA from 1 species